rnacentral:rRNA from 1 species
GGACUACUGGGGUAUCUAAUCCUGUUCGCUCCCCACGCUUUCGCUCCUCAGCGUCAGUAUCGGCCCAGAGACCCGCCUUCGCCACCGGUGUUCCUCCUGAUAUCUGCGCAUUUCACCGCUACACCAGGAAUUCCAGUCUCCCCUACCGAACUCCAGCCCGCCCGUAUCGGCUGCAAGCCCGCAGUUAAGCCACGGGAUUUCACAGCCGACGCAACGAGCCGCCUACGAGCUCUUUACGCCCAAUAAUUCCGGACAACGCUCGCGCCCUACGUCUUACCGCGGCUGCUGGCAC